rnacentral:rRNA from 1 species
CACGUAGGGUGCGAGCGUUGUCCGGAAUUAUUGGGCGUAAAGAGCUCGUAGGCGGUCUGUCGCGUCGGCUGUGAAAUCCCGAGGCUCAACCUCGGGUCUGCAGUCGAUACGGGCAAACUAGAGUAUUGCAGGGGAGACUGGAAUUCCUGGUGUAGCGGUGAAAUGCGCAGAUAUCAGGAGGAACACCGGUGGCGAAGGCGGGUCUCUGGGCAAUAACUGACGCUGAGGCGCGACAGCGUGGGGGAGCAAACAGG